CUAUGAUGAGAUGCCAUUAAAAAUAGCUGGAAUUACCGGAUGAUUCUUUGUGAUUAGACAUGGCUUCUGAGA